CCCAGACUCCUACGGGAGGCAGCAGUGGGGGAUAUUGCACAAUGGGGGAAACCCUGAUGCAGCGACGCCGCGUGAGUGAAGAAGUAUUUCGGUAUGUAAAGCUCUAUCAGCAGGGACGAAAAUGACGGUACCUGACUAAGAAGCCCCGGCUAACUACGUGCCAGCAGCCGCGGUAAUACGUAGGGGGCAAGCGUUAUCCGGAUUUACUGGGUGUAAAGGGAGCGUAGACGGUUACGCAAGUCUGGAGUGAAAGGCGGGGGCCCAACCCCCGGACUGCUUUGGAAACUGUAUAACUGGAGUGCAGGAGAGGUAAGUGGAAUUCCUAGUGUAGCGGUGAAAUGCGUAGAUAUUAGGAGGAACACCAGUGGCGAAGGCGACUUUCUGGACUGUACCUGACGCUGAGGCGCGAAAGCGUGGGUAGCGAACGGGAUUAGAUACCCUGGUAAU
rnacentral:rRNA from 1 species